GGAGAGGUACCGAAGUGGUCGUAACGGGCCGCACUCGAAAUGCGGUUGGGGCGCAAGCUCCACGGGAGUUCGAAUCUCCCCCUCUCCG
rnacentral:tRNA from 1 species